UACAGAGGUCUCAAGCGUUGUUCGGAUUCAUUGGGCGUAAAGGGUGCGUAGGCGGCGCGGUAAGUCGGGUGUGAAAUCUUGGAGCUUAACUCCGAAACUGCAUUCGAUACUGCCGUGCUUGAGGACUGGAGAGGAGACGUGGAAUUUACGGUGUAGCGGUGAAAUGCGUAGAUAUCGAUAAGGAAGACCAGUGGCGGAAGGCGGGUCUCUGGACGAGU
rnacentral:rRNA from 1 species